UACCUACAGGUUGUGUUUGCUCCAGGUUUUCGGCAUUGUGCCUGCACUGAAUAAAAACAAGCAGCUCCAACUUCUCAGGGCUGCUCUCUGGCCACUAGAGCCAGGCAGUCACCUAGCUGCUCUUAUGCUGCAUACCUGUCUCUGAGUACUUGCUUCAUCCAUCGGCCAGGGUCUGUGGGACAGACCAGGCAGGUGGUGCCCCAUGUGAGGAACGCUGCAAUGGAUUGCAAGGGAACCCCUGAAAACAAAUAUGAAGUGACUGAGCAGUGUUAACCUUAGAAGACUAGAACCUAAUGAGUUAUGGCAAACAGAUGUUAUGCACGUCCCUGAAUUUGGAAAACUAAGGUCCUCUUUGGAUUCCAGCACGAGGCAUCAAACCAUACCAUGGCAUGGCUAGGACCCAACCCGGUACCAAAAUGAAGAAAAUGACCCUACAGGACCCACAAUCCCGGAUGAUGUGGCUUCCUUGGAUGACACAGGCCCUGGACAUUACCUGGGGGAUGCUGAAGAAGACAACUCAGGAGGCCAAGCAAAUCCUGCUCCA
rnacentral:lncRNA from 1 species